UAAAACGUAGGAGGCGAGCGUUAUCCGGAUUUACUGGGCGUAAAGCGCGUGCAGGCGGCUCGAAAAGUUGGAUGUGAAAGCUCCUGGCUUAACUGGGAGAGGUCGUUCAAUACUUUCGGGCUUGAGGAUGGGAGAGGGAGGUGGAAUUCCGGGUGUAGUGGUGAAAUGCGUAGAUAUCCGGAGGAACACCAGUGGCGAAGGCGGCCUCCUGGCCCAUUUCUGACGCUCAGACGCGAAAGCUAGGGUAGCAAACGGG
rnacentral:rRNA from 1 species